GAUGAACGCUAGCUACAGGCUUAACACAUGCAAGUCGCGGGGCAGCAUGUUGGUUGCUUGCAACCGAUGAUGGCGACCGGCGCACGGGUGAGUAACGCGUAUCCAACCUACCUAUUACCACGGGAUAACCCGGCGAAAGUCGGACUAAUACCGUAUGUUGUCCUCCAAUGGCAUCAGCAGUGGACUAAAGGUUUGGCGGUAAUAGAUGGGGAUGCGUCCGAUUAGCUAGUUGGUGAGGUAAUGGCUCCCCAAGGCUUCGAUCGGUAGGGGUUCUGAGAGGAAGGUCCCCCACACUGGAACUGAGACACGGUCCAGACUCCUACGGGAGGCAGCAGUGAGGAAUAUUGGUCAAUGGACGAGAGUCUGAACCAGCCAAGUAGCGUGCAGGAUGACUGCCCUAUGGGUUGUAAACUGCUUUUAUGCGGGGAUAAAGUGGGGAACGUGUUCUCUAUUGCAG
rnacentral:rRNA from 1 species